UACGUAGGGGGCAAGCGUUGUCCGGAAUCAUUGGGCGUAAAGCGCGUGUAGGCGGACUGGAAGGUCUGGUGUGAAAGCCCGGGGCUCAACCCCGGAGGGUCACUGGAAACCGACAGUCUUGAGUCCGGAAGAGGAGAGUGGAAUUCCUGGUGUAGCGGUGGAAUGCGCAGAUAUCAGGAGGAACACCUAUGGCGAAGGCAGCUCUCUGGUACGUGAACUGGACGC
rnacentral:rRNA from 1 species